rnacentral:rRNA from 1 species
AUUGAACGCUGGCGGCAUGCCUUACACAUGCAAGUCGAACGGCAGCACGGGUGCUUGCACCUGGUGGCGAGUGGCGAACGGGUGAGUAAUACAUCGGAACAUGUCCUGUAGUGGGGGAUAGCCCGGCGAAAGCCGGAUUAAUACCGCAUAGGAUCUACGGAUGAAAGCGGGGGACCUUCGGGCCUCGCGCUAUAGGGUUGGUCGAUGGCGGAUUAGCUAGUUGGUGGGGUAAAGGCCUACCAAGGCGACGAUCAGGAGCUGGUCUGAGAGGACGACCAGCCACACUGGAACUGAGACACGGCCCAGACUCCUACGGGAGGCAGCAGUGGGGAAUUUUGGACAAUGGGCGAAAGCCUGAUCCAGCAAUGCCGCGUGUGUGAAGAAGGCCUUCGGGUUGUAAAGCACUUUUGUCCGGAAAGAAAUCCUUGGCCCUAAUACGGUCGGGGGAUGACGGUACCGGAAGAAUAAGCACCGGCUAACUACGUG